AUGCAUUCAUCCUCCUGGUGGCCCACAAAUGACCUCAGACCACACUUCAAGAGGACCAACAUGUCGUAUGAAGAAAUGGGAAUUGUGUGGAACACUUGGUAUGAUGGAGAGAUGGCUUAUACAGUGAGGAGUUCAAACACAGUCCAUGGUGACCAGGAACGUGCUGAACUGGACAGAGACGAUAUGAUAAUUGGGCUUCUAUGAGGUCGGCUCUGUGAUCUACAGUGGAGCAGAGGGGAGGCAGAGUGAUGUAAAGACCUGAAACUAUAGUUACCUUCAUGGACAGAAAAAUGGAAUAUCAACCUCAAACGUGUGUAUACCAUCCCAUCAAAUUCAGGCAAAUAGCGAGCGGGCAUCUCAGGGUGGGGAGACAUGUUGGAGACAGGGGAAAAUUAUAUCAUGGUGCUCAAAAUUGAGAAUUCAUGAUCUUGCCACAGAACAGGGACCAGGUCUCUUUGUUUCAUUGAUAGAAACCCAAUGCCUGGGAUUUAACAUGUACCCAACAAAUAAAUUUCUAGAUGAGUUAAUCA
rnacentral:lncRNA from 12 species